UACGAGCGCCGCCGCGUGAGCGAAGAAGGCCUUCGGGUCGUAAAGCUCUGUCGUAUGGGACGAAUUGACGGUACCGGAAGAAGAAGCCCCCGAUAGUUCCCUACCAGAAACCGACGGCUUAAUACGUGCCAGCAGCCGCGGUAAUAAAUU
rnacentral:rRNA from 1 species